rnacentral:rRNA from 1 species
UACGUAGGGUGCAAUCGUUAAUCGGAAUUACUGGGCGUAAAGCGUGCGCAGGCGGCUAUGCAAGACAGAUGUGAAAUCCCCGGGCUCAACCUGGGAACUGCAUUUGUGACUCCAUGGCUAGAGUACGGCAGAGGGGGAUGGAAUUCCGCGUGUAGCAGUGAAAUGCGUAGAUAUGCGGAGGAACACCGAUGGCGAAGGCAAUCCCCUGGGCCUGUACUGACGCUCAUGCACGAAAGCGUGGGGAGCAAACAGG